AAAUUUUUCUUGUGAACUGCGCAUGCGUGAAUAAAGAAAUAAAAGAAAGCCGGCAGCCCGCUAACCUAUCAGAUGACUGGGUGAGCAGACCACGGGAGGUCAAGAAACAGAAGUGCUGACGUAAGAAUCGACACGUGACUGAAACAGAAGCGACCAGUGCAGUCACCGAGUGGAUGGUAAUCACUAGCAGUUGAGAAAACAGCCAAGAAAUAAGAGAAGAUGGUCAAGAUGACAAGUGGAGUCUGGUUGCUUGUGCUGUUGCCUUGCUUGCUGAACAGCCUGGUAUGCGCGAGGCCAUCGGCAGUCGAGGUCGACACGUCCCACCACCGUGCUGACCACGAGCUUCAUCAUUCAAGACGUGAAGCGCACAGGACACGGUCUCCUUGCUGCAUCUUGUGCAAGAAGUCGUCGUGCAAAAUCACUUGUACCACCAUGUGCGAUAAAUAUUCAGGCCGUUAAAGUUCCUGGACAUCGUUACCAAAGUCUUAUUCUGCAAUCAGCUGCUUACUCUAAAUGCAAUGGCCAAGCUGCUUUUUUCUGUUCUUUUUUUUUUUUUUUGCCGACGAGAAAGAAGUUGAUUUAAAUGCGGAGACAGUCAUAUACAAGUAGUCUCCCUGUUAUUGGUGAAUUAAACUUCUUUUGUUUGUGUUUGCAAAAAGCAAUUUAAAAAAAAAUAACUAUUACUUUCCUGCUGAAACAUGUCCAUCAUUUUAAAGAAGCAUCUUUCGUGGAGCUGCAGUUGUAUCCCUUAUGUUAAUAUGACCCAAAUCUUACACGUGGACAUAAUAUUGAGAAUAUAAAUCUUAAAUCUUAACCCGACAUGUUAAACAUUUAAUCAGAGAUCUUAAGCAAUAAACCCACAUUUUAAAUAUUGAAUUAUUAUGGAGUCCAAUUUUGCUACCGGUAUGCGCAACUUAUCUUAAAUAGACAAAACUUAUCGGGAGAACUAAUUAACACGACUAUUGUUGUUAACGUGGUAUUGCUUAUAUUUUUUUCAAUGUCAGGUAGUCAUACACUGAGCCUACUGUCGUGCUCACCUUGUUAGGAUUAAGAGAUUUCUCUACUGAUAAUGCUGCAAAACUUCCAAAAUAUACUAACAUGGUGCCUAUAAAUAGACUUUAGCUUCCAGGAGAAUAUUGAGUCAUCUUGAUUGAAAGCUGAUCAACUAAUGGAUUUUAAUAAAUUUAUUUGAGUGCCA